rnacentral:tRNA from 1 species
GUGCACUUGGAGUUUUGAUCUCCGCAGGGUAGGUUCGAGUCCUAUCUUUUUAGGAG